CUCUCUACCAUGCUCCCUCGCGGUUCCCACAAUUCCCAGCACAGCAUACUCAUACAGCAUACAGUGCUGGGAAUUGUGGGAACCGCGAGGGAGCAUGAGAGAGA
rnacentral:miRNA from 1 species